CUCCACGGGUGUCAGGUUCAUCGCCCGACCCCAACCCUAUCGAAUUCGAUUCUAUCUUAUGGAUCUCACGCUGCUCGAUUUGGAGUAGCAACGGGUGUAACACGAUCCCUCCUCCCGUCGCCGUCGCCGUCGCCGUCGCUGCCAGGUGAGUACUUGCCGACGGCGCCGAAUCCUGCGACCAGAUCCUCCUUCGGCCUGCCAUCCGCUCAGGAGCUUCAAGCACAACACGCCUUCCCGUCUUCAACGGCCAUGGGGCCGCAACUGCCUCCCCCGGCGGGCAUUGUCCUCGAAGGCUAGAACUCACUAAAGUCGAGGAGCUAAUCGGCUGCUGCUCGUCUUCCACCAUACCAAUCGGCCCAUCCUGCUCCGCGCGGCGCCACGCCCAUCCUGCUCCUCCUCCACGAGGGCAACGUCAUCCUUACGACACCACUACUACCUGAAGUUGAGCGGCAAGCAGCGGCCGGCCACGGCAGCAAGCACCAUCCCGGCGAGGUAACUCCCUCUGCGUUGCUCCAAAUCCUACCUACCAAGCUUUCGCUCAUCGAUUAGCUCAUCACUGUACUAAUACAACUUGCAUCCCGUUCAAAUUCAUUCCCCGCAUCUGAUCUGGAUUGUCCCUUUAUUCUCCUUUUGUAUGAUUGGGUUCGUGGCGACUGUACCAUGAUGCGUAUGGUUUAAUUAAAUUUGCUUCAAUUUAUUAUGCACAGAAGGUGUUUGUCAGAUUGACUAUGUGAGGUUUUGCAGAUAUUCACUUAAUCUGAAUUCUAAUGGGCAAAUUUAGAAUUCCGCUAGAAUACUUUUGUUGCAUUUAUCUACUGGGUUACUACGAAUUUAGCACUUCUCAGUUUUCCUAGACAGGACAUGAAGUUGUUCUCACUGGUGGAUUAAUUAGCAUGGCACAUGCUACUCAAAAUUUGCUCUAAUGCUCUACCUCCGUGUUACUUGGCAUAAUCGACAUGCAUUGCAGCAGCAGCGCGCUGACACUUAAUCAUGUCAAUUCAGCGUUGGGCUGAAUUCGUCACAGUUAGGGUUUUCCUGGCUAUGGAUCAUCUCUGAAACGCAUGUGGUGGCUGACAACCAUGUUGGCGUCCCACAUUCUCAUAACAAUGGAAAGUUGAGUAUAUGCUGCAAACUUUUUAAUACUUUUAGACCACAAACAGUCAUAUGUUUGUUAGUAAGUUUCCAAAUUGUUCUAUUACCAAGAUCAAUUUAGUCAUGGUUCCUUGUUGUAAUAUGAUAGUCAAAUCCAAUCAAACAUACCAUUUAGUGGCUUCAGGCCCAUCUUAUUUAUUCUAGAAUGGAGAUCAUUUUCGAUAUGGGAGUGUUGUACACAGUUAACUGAAUAGAACAUGAUGACAAAGGAUAUGGUGUAUUUAAUCAGGGUUCUGCCUGAUUCAAAUAGAAUAUCCUGACAAUUUGUUCUAUUAUUUUAACUAGAGUUCAAUGUGCUCUUCUAAUUUGAUCAUUAUUGUUAAUCUUGACUCAGUAUUUGUUUGCCAUGAUGCUGUGUUCGUCUCUGAACAGCUGGGUAAAAGUUGUCAGUGCAUUCCCUAAAAUGACUCUAAGUCUAGCCAUAUUAGUUUUGUUUAUUCAAAUCAUAAUUUAACACUGUACUCUAGAAGUAUAGUUCCCUUGGAAUCAAUUAUGUCAUUGUAUUCCAAGAAUCUGCAAUUAUUCUGUUCGUAUUUAUCUUGUCCAUAUAAGUCUUGGUUGCAUUUUGCUAAAUUUUUAUGUUUACCUUGUGCACUAUAAUUGUACCCCCCCCCCCCCUAAAGAUCAUUGUUGGAUUUUCUACAAUUGUUUACCUCUACUAGUUCCGCUCCCUUCUCCUGUGCAACAAUGGUGACUGAUGCAUUAGAAACAAGGGACCUCCUUUGGCUCAUGCACAAGAUAUGAUCAAUCCAAAUGACAUGAAAAUCUGCAUUGGCCCUGGUAAGGUCCUGCCGAUACACCCCAAAUGAUCAGCAUGGUUCUUGGAUUGCCACAUGUAUAGCUAGUUCUGGGUUAUCUUUGUUGGUCUGAUCUGAUAGCUAGUUCAGCUAGUUAUUUUUUAUUGAUUACCUGUAGUUCGGAGCAUUGAUGAUUUUUUUUUUACUAACAUCCCAAAUUUCUCUCAGAAUGGUGUGUGAUUAUAUGCAAUAGGUAUACGUGCUGGCGCUAAUUUCAUCGAGUUCCAUGCAUAUGUUUGGUGAAAAAGUAUGGUUCAUUGUUUCAACCAAAAUCUGCAACUGAACAAAAUAUGCUUAGUUUAAGCAAAA